GACGAACCGUGCGAACGUUGUUCGGAUUCACUGGGCUUAAAGGGCGCGUAGGCGGGCGGUCAAGUCAGGGGUGAAAUCUUUCGGCUCAACCGGAAAAGUGCCUUUGAUACUGGCCGUCUCGAGGGAGGUAGGGGCAUGCGGAACUUCCGGUGGAGCGGUGAAAUGCGUAGAUAUCGGAAGGAACGCCGGUGGCGAAAGCGGCGUGCUGGACCUCUUCUGACGCUGAGGUGCGAAAGCGUGGGGAGCAAACAGG
rnacentral:rRNA from 1 species